rnacentral:rRNA from 1 species
UGGCGAACGGGCGAGUAACACGUGGGUGAUCUGCCCUGCACUCUGGGAUAAGCCUGGGAAACUGGGUCUAAUACCGGAUAGGACCAUGCUUUAGUGUGUGUGGUGGAAAGUUUUUUCGGUGUAGGAUGAGCCCGCGGCCUAUCAGCUUGUUGGUGGGGUAAUGGCCUACCAAGGCGGCGACGGGUAGCCGGACUGAGAGGUUGGUCGGCCACAUUGGGACUGAGAUACGGCCCAG